UACGGAGGAUCCAAGCGUUAUCCGGAUUUAUUGGGUUUAAAGGGAGCGUAGGCGGCUUGUUAAGUCAGGGGUGAAAGACGGUGGCUCAACCAUCGCAGUGCCUUUGAUACUGACGAGCUUGAAUAUAGUUGAGGUAGGCGGAAUGUGACAAGUAGCGGUGAAAUGCAUAGAUAUGUCACAGAACACCGAUUGCGAAGGCAGCUUACUAAGCUAUUAUUGACGCUGAGGCUCGAAAGCGUGGGGAUCAAACAGG
rnacentral:rRNA from 1 species